rnacentral:rRNA from 1 species
UGCAAGUCGAACGAGAACUGUCCUUCGGGAUGCAAGCUAAGUGGCGAACGGGUGAGUAACAGAUAGCUAACGUGCCUUUUGGAGAGGAAUAACUACUGGAAACGGUAGCUAAUACCUCAUACUCCGUAUUUCUUGAUGAAAUACGGGAAACAAUUUUUUGCCAAAAGAUCGGGUUAUCUCCUAUCAGCUUGUUGGUAAGGUAAAAGCUUACCAAGGCUAUGACGGGUAACUGGUUUGAGAGGAUGAUCAGUCACACUGGAACUGAGACACGGUCCAGACUCCUACGGGAGGCAGCAGUAGGGAAUAUUGCACAAUGGAGGAAACUCUGAUGCAGCAACGCCGCGUGGAGGAUGACGCAUUUCGGUGUGUAAACUCCUCUUAUAUAAGAAGAUAAUGACGGUAUUAUAUGAAUAAGCAUCGGCUAACUCCGUGCCAGCAGCCGCGGUAAUACGGAGGAUGCAAGCGUUACUCGGAAUCACUGGGCGUAAAGAACACGUAGGCGGAUUUUCAAGUCUUGAGUGAAAUCCUAUGGCUUAACCAUAGAACUGCUUGAGAAACUGAAUAUCUAGAAUCUGGAAGAGGUAGAUGGAAUUAGUAGUGUAGGGGUAAAAUCCGUAGAUAUUACUAGGAAUACCAAAUGCGAAGGCAAUCUACUGGGACAGUAUUGACGCUGUGGUGUGAAAGCGUGGGGAGCAAACAGGAUUAGAUACCCUGGUAGUCCACGCCCUAAACGAUGAAUGCUAGUCGUCGGGGAGCUAAUGUCUCUUCGGUGAUGCACCUAACGGAUUAAGCAUUCCGCCUGGGGAGUACGGUCGCAAGAUUAAAACUCAAAGGAAUAGACGGGGACCCGCACAAGUGGUGGAGCAUGUGGUUUAAUUCGACGAUACGCGAAGAACCUUACCUGGCCUUGACAUUGAUAGAAUUCUUUAGAGAUAAAGAAGUGCCUUCGGGAACUUGAAAACAGGUGCUGCACGGCUGUCGUCAGCUCGUGUCGUGAGAUGUUGGGUUAAGUCCCGCAACGAGCGCAACCCUCGUCGUUAGUUGCCAUCAGUUCGGCUGGGUACUCUAACGAGACUGCCUCCGUAAGGAGGAGGAAGGUGAGGACGACGUCAAGUCAUCAUGGCCCUUAUGGCCAGGGCUACACACGUGCUACAAUGGAAUAUACAGAGAGUUGCAAUAUCGCAAGAUGGAGCCAACCUUUAAAAUAUUUCUCAGUUCGGAUUGUUCUCUGCAACUCGAGAGCAUGAAGCUGGAAUCACUAGUAAUCGUGAAUCAGAAUGUCACGGUGAAUACGUUCCCGGGUCUUGUACUCACCGCCCGUCACACCAUGGGAGUUGAUUUCACCCGAAAUCGGGAUGCCAA